rnacentral:rRNA from 1 species
CAGUAGCCGCGGGAAUACGUAGGGUGCGAGCGUUAAUCGGAAUUACUGGGCGUAAAGCGUGCGCAGGCGGUUAUAUAAGACAGAUGUGAAAUCCCCGGGCUCAACCUGGGACCUGCAUUUGUGACUGUAUAGCUAGAGUACGGUAGAGGGGGAUGGAACUCCGCGUGUAGCAGUGAAAUGCGUAGAUAUGCGGAGGAACACCGAUGGCGAAGGCAAUCCCCUGGACCUGUACUGACGCUCAUGCACGAAAGCGUGGGGAGCAAACAGGAUUAGAUACCCCUGUAGUCCCUGUCUCUUAUAC